UACAGAGGGUGCAAGCGUUAAUCGGAUUUACUGGGCGUAAAGGGCGCGUAGGCGGUUAGUUAAGUGAGAUGUGAAAGCCCUGGGCUUAACCUAGGAACUGCAUCUUAAACUGACUAGCUAGAGUACUGUAGAGGGUAGUGGAAUUUCCGGUGUAGCGGUGAAAUGCGUAGAGAUCGGAAGGAACACCAGUGGCGAAGGCGGCUACCUGGACAGAUACUGACGCUGAGGCGCGAAAGCGUGGGGAGCAAACAGG
rnacentral:rRNA from 1 species